CCGCUGCUGGCGAUCCUGCAUAAAACGCGUGGCUUAUGCGCCACUCCUCGAAAGGAGACCACGAGCCCAAUUUUAAAUUGCCCGGAUGAGACUCCCAAAGGGCGAGUCCAUUUGAAAUUUCCUGAAUAGGAUUUACGGAUCGAUCCAGCUGGCUACGAUCUAAAACGUCCAAACGGGAACACCCUAUUAUCGCAACAUAACCACACAGUCACGACGACACUCAGAGAACGAUCCCUCACUGAGCUGGAAGACACUCAUAAAACAACCCAAUCAAACUCAACAUAUGGAGGACGGGACACGAAACUACCAAAAACCGCGCAGUGAUGUGAAAUACAAUUAAACGAUCAAAUUGCUAGGAAAGAACAUGUUGACACAUUUAUUCAGGGACGGAUACGAAAUAUAUUCACUUAACAACUAGGAUAACAUACAUAUUUAUUGGCUACAACUCGAGUUGGAAAUCAUUCUGUGUGUUUGUGUUCGUUCUACUUCUACACUUCCUAGCUGGUGUGCGAUUCCCUAGCUCCUCCUUCUCUAUCUAACUGUGCUCAGUGCUCUCAUUCGUGACGUCACAUGGAAUCGAAGCUCGACUGCGUCGAUGUCUGCGCUCCGGGUGUUCGACUUUUUCUGCAGUGGUGGCAAGACGGCUCACGCACGCAUUUUCACGGAACCGGAGGCUCCGAAGACGUUGUCGGAAGGAAUUCCGAUCUCCGAAAAAGAUGUUGGUUGGCUUUAGCAGCACUUCUUCAGUCUUUGACUGGUACAAAAAAAUCCUCCGCGGCGCCCUCAGCGGACGCCGCACUCCGCAAAAAAAAGAAAUUGGUUGACUCACCGAUCGGUACAGCUUACUACUUGGUAGUCGAUGACCUGUAGGCCGGGUCGUUGCUCUCACCACCGCGCCGGUUUGGUUGAUUGAUGGCGGAGUUCGUUGAUCGGCUCGUCUUCGCAAUGGCGGUUGACUUACGCUUCACUGGGCUAUUGACAGCGCCCGCUAGUCAAUUGGCGAACUAGCUGGUGGAAGACCUCGUCCACCUGAAGGUCCCCAGGCCUUCUCGGACCGAUAUGGUAACGGAUCCGUCCGCUUCCGGCCGUAUGACGGAUGCCGGGUAUUUCUCGUCCGUCGGGGAAGAAGUGGUUGCGCUUGGAUGCGAAGAA